UGACCUCUAAAUAGCUCGCACCGCCCCGGCGGUGUUGCGGCUUCUUAGUGGGACUAUCGGCUCAAGCCGAUGGAAGUUCGAGGCAAUAACAGGUCUGUGAUGCCCUUAGAUGUCCUGGGCCGCACGCGCGUUACACUGACGGAGCCAGCGAGUUCUUUCCUUGGCCGAAAGGCCCGGGUAAUCUUGUGAAACUCCGUCGUGAUGGGGAUAGAGCAUUGCAAUUGUUGCUCUUCAACGAGGAAUCCCUAGUAAGCGCAAGUCAUCAGCUUGCGUUGAUUACGUCCCUGCCCUUUGUACACACCGCCCGUCGCU
rnacentral:rRNA from 1 species